ACGGGACCCGCGACAAGCAGCGGAGCAUGUGGUUUAAUUCGAAGCAACGCGAAGAACCUUACCAGAUCUUGACAUCCAAUUGACCAUCUUUUAAUCGAGAUUUUGCCUUCGGGUACAAUUGAGACAGGUGGUGCAUGGUUGUCGUCAGCUCGUGUCGUGAGAUGUUGGGUUAAGUCCCGCAACGAGCGCAACCCUUGUGUUUAGUUGCAAACAGGUCAAGCUGUGCACUCUAGACAGACUGCCGUGGACAACACGGAGGAAGGUGGGGAUGACGUCAAAUCAUCAUGCCCCUUAUGAUCUGGGCUACACACGUGCUACAAUGGCCGGUACAACGGGCAGCGAAGGAGCGAUCCGGAGCGAAUCCUAAAAAGCCGGUCCCAGUUCGGAUUGAAGUCUGCAACUCGACUUCAUGAAGCUGGAAUCGCUAGUAAUCGCAGAUCAGCCAAGCUGCGGUGAAUACGUUCCCGGGCCUU
rnacentral:rRNA from 1 species